ACCCUCUCAGAGUCGCAGCUGGAGAGUUUCCAGUACUCUACCAGUCAUGGCUACGGAAGGGAGAGUCAAGCAGAGACAUACCUAUUCCAUUCCUGGCUUGACCAGUGGCUAGCGAAUGGAAGGCAAUCUGCUACAAGU